rnacentral:lncRNA from 1 species
AUUUAAAAAAAUUGUUUCUUCAUUAGCUCGGUCAAUCAUUGGCCGAGUCCAUCCUACAAAAAACUUUCUUUCAGCAACUCGUCCAUCCAUUGGACGAGUGGAUACUAAAAAAAUGGAUAUUUUGAGAAUUUAAUUUCAGAAUAGGGUAUAUAAGGAAUAAAAAAUAAAAAAAAAGAUAAGAAAGAAAAAAAAUCUUUAAAUCAACCAUUCAAAUUGAAUUUGAACUCUAUAAUCCAAAAAAA